rnacentral:rRNA from 1 species
CAGUAGCCGCGGGAAUACAGAGGGUGCGAGCGUUAAUCGGAUUUACUGGGCGUAAAGCGUGCGUAGGCGGCUUUUUUAGUCGGAUGUGAAAUCCCUGAGCUUAACUUAGGAAUUGCAUUCGAUACUGGGAAGCUAGAGUAUGGGAGAGGAUGGUAGAAUUCCAGGUGUAGCGGUGAAAUGCGUAGAGAUCUGGAGGAAUACCGAUGGCGAAGGCAGCCAUCUGGCCUAAUACUGACGCUGAGGUACGAAAGCAUGGGGAGCAAACAGGAUUAGAUACCCCCGUAGUCCCUGUCUCUUAUAC